rnacentral:rRNA from 1 species
UCCGUAGGUGGAUAAUUAAGUCAGGGGUGAAAGUCUGCAGCUCAACUGUAGAAUUGCCCUUGAUACUGGUUAUCUUGAGUUAUUAUGAAGUAGUUAGAAUAUGUAGUGUAGCGGUGAAAUGCAUAGAUAUUACAUAGAAUACCAAUUGCGAAGGCAGAUUACUAAUAAUCAACUGACACUGAUGGACGAAAGCGUGGGGAGCGAACAGGAUUAGAUACCCUGGUAGUCC